rnacentral:rRNA from 1 species
ACUCCUACGGGAGGCAGCAGUGGGGAAUAUUGCACAAUGGGCGCAAGCCUGAUGCAGCCAUGCCGCGUGUAUGAAGAAGGCCUUCGGGUUGUAAAGUACUUUCAGCAGUGAGGAAGGCGGGUACGUUAAUAGCGUGCUUGUUUGACGUUAGCUGCAGAAGAAGCACCGGCUAACUCCGUGCCAGCAGCCGCGGUAAUACGGAGGGUGCGAGCGUUAAUCGGAAUUACUGGGCGUAAAGCGCAUGCAGGUGGUUUGUUAAGUCAGAUGUGAAAGCCCGGGGCGUCAACCUCGGAAUUGCAUUUGAAACUGGCAGACUAGAGUACUGUAGAGGGGGGUAGAAUUUCAGGUGUAGCGGUGAAAUGCGUAGAGAUCUGAAGGAAUACCGGUGGCGAAGGCGGCCCCCUGGACAGAUACUGACACUCAGAUGCGAAAGCGUGGGAGCAAACAGGAUUAGAUACCCUGGUAGGAUAGCG